rnacentral:rRNA from 1 species
AACGAACGCUGGCGGCAUGCCUAACACAUGCAAGUCGAACGAAACCUUCGGGUUUAGUGGCGCACGGGUGCGUAACGCGUGGGAACCUGCCCUUAGGUUCGGAAUAACUCCCCGAAAGGGGUGCUAAUACCGGAUAAUGUCUUCGGACCAAAGAUUUAUCGCCGUUGGAUGGGCCCGCGUUGGAUUAGCUAGUUGGUAGGGUAAAAGCCUACCAAGGCGACGAUCCAUAGCUGGUCUGAGAGGAUGAUCAGCCACACUGGGACUGAGACACGGCCCAGACUCCUACGGGAGGCAGCAGUGGGGAAUAUUGGACAAUGGGCGAAAGCCUGAUCCAGCAAGGCCGCGUGAGUGAUGAAGGCCUUAGGGUUGUAAAGCUCUUUUACCCGGGAUGAUAAUGACGGUACCGGGAGAAUAAGCACCGGCUAACUCCGUG